rnacentral:tRNA from 1 species
GAGGGUAUAGCUCUCUGGUAGAGCGUGUGCUUAGCAUGCAUGAGGUCCUGGGUUCAAUCCCCAGUACCUCCA